rnacentral:rRNA from 1 species
AGAGUUUGAUCCUGGCUCAGGACGAACGCUGGCGGCGUGCUUAAUACAUGCAAGUCGAGCGAGGUUACUGCGACAGAUCCCUUUCGGGGUGAAGUUGCUUUAGCCUAGCGGCGGACGGGUGAGUAACGCGUGGGUAACCUACCCUAAAGUUCGGGAUAACAGCGGGAAACCGCUGCUAAUACCGGAUGCCUUUACCAUGUGGCAUCACAAGGUAAAGAAAGGUAACGCUUUAGGAUGGGCCCGCGUCCCAUUAGCUAGUUGGUGAGGUAACAGCUCACCAAGGCGACGAUGGGUAGCCGGCCUGAGAGGGUGGACGGCCACACUGGGACUGAGACACGGCCCAGACUCCUACGGGAGGCAGCAGUAGGGAAUAUUGCGCAAUGGACGGAAGUCUGACGCAGCGACGCCGCGUGAGCGAUGAAGGCCUUCGGGUCGUAAAGCUCUGUCCUUGGGGAAGAAGGUCUUCGGACUUGACGGUACCCAAGAAGAAAGCCCCGGCUAACUACGUGCCAGCAGCCGCGGUAAUACGUAGGGGGCGAGCGUUGUCCGGAAUUACUGGGCGUAAAGGGUGCGUAGGCGGCCCUUUAAGUCAGAUGUGAAAGCCCGCAGCUUAACUGCGGAAUUGCAUUUGAAACUGGAGGGCUUGAGUGUCGGAGAGGGUAGUGGAAUUCCCAGUGUAGCGGUGAAAUGCGUAGAUAUUGGGAGGAACACCAGUGGCGAAGGCGACUGCCUGGACGAUAACUGACGCUGAGGCACGAAAGCUAGGGGAGCAAACAGGAUUAGAUACCCUGGUAGUCCUAGCCGUAAACGAUGGGUACUAGGUGUAGGUGGUUUCGAUACCAUCUGUGCCGUAGUUAACGCAUUAAGUACCCCGCCUGGGGAGUACGUGCGCAAGCAUGAAACUCAAAUGAAUUGACGG